AAGAACGUUCAGUCCAACCCUGACCUGUCAAAAGAGUGCUGCCAGAUGAUUUGCUCUUGCCUGCAGCAUGAUCCACAGCAGAGACUUAUUCUGGAGGAGAUGCUGCUUCAUGACUGGUUUAUGGUUCUGUAAGACAUGGGAAACAACCAAAAACGACUCCC